AUUUUGCCUCAGAUGAACAAAUGAUUCUAGAAACCCACAAGACUUUAAAUGUCCUAUAUGUUUUCAAUGGCACAUAUGAACCCUACCUAAUUCACUGGCUCUUCCCUUUACAAAUGACAUUUAAGCAAACAACAGCAACAGCCGAAAAUCCCUAUGAGUUGGCUGUGUACCUAUAUUUCCUGCAUCAAAAUUUAUCCCCAUCAUGGGUAGAAAUCUUUGCAAUGGCUGAGUGGGUGAUGAGCAUUCUGGAAAGAGAAGACACUGAAUUCUUUGAUCAUCUUCAGCAGAACUUCAGAAAGACUAUUACAAUGGACCCAAAAGAUUUCUUGGUAGAACUGAUAGUUCAAGAAAGAGAUGAGGCUCAAGAACUGUAUGCCAGUGCAGAUAGAGCUGAGCAGAACCAACAUCUAGCCAAAGAGUUACUGGGAAGUCCAGUAAUUUUCCUGAGAAAAUGGAUGGGUGAGGUAAG
rnacentral:lncRNA from 1 species